GGAGAUGGAUUCUGAGACACGAAUCCAGGCCCUACGGGGUGCAGCAGGCGCGAAAACUUUACAAUGCGGGAAACCGUGAUAAGGGAAUCUCGAGUGCCAGCAUAUAAUGUUGGCUGUCCAGAUGCCUAAAAAGCAUCUGUUAGCAAGGGCCGGGCAAGACCGGUGCCAGCCGCCGCGGUAACACCGGCGGCCCGAGUGGUAACCGCUUUUAUUGGGUCUAAAGGGUCUGUAGCCGGCCAAGUAAGUCCCUUGGGAAAUCUGGCAGCUUAACUGUCAGGCUGCUAGGGGAUACUGCUAGGCUUGGGACCGGGAGAGGUGAGAGGUACCUUGGGGGUAGGGGUGAAAUCUUGUGAUCCUCGGGGGACCACCAGUGGCGAAGGCGUCUCACCAGAACGGGUCCGACGGUAAGGGACGAAAGCUAGGGGCACGAACCGGAUUAGAUACCCGGGUAGUCCUAGCCGUAAACGAUGCUCGCUAGGUGUCAGUCACGGUGCGACCGUGAUUGGUGCCGUAGGGAAGCCGUGAAGCGAGC
rnacentral:rRNA from 1 species